rnacentral:rRNA from 1 species
GACGAACGCUGGCGGCGUGCUUAACACAUGCAAGUCGAACGGAAAGGCACUGCUUUUGUGGGCUGAUCGAGUGGCGAACGGGUGAGUAACACGUGAGUAACCUGCCCUUGACUUUGGGAUAAGUUCAGGAAACUGGGGCUAAUAUCGGAUAGGAGAUCCUGCUGCAUGGUGGGGAUUGGAAAGUUUCGGCGGUUGGGGAUGGACGCGCGGCUUAUCAGCUUGUUGGUUGGGUAGUGGCUUACCAAGGCUUUGACGGGUAGCCGGCCUGAGAGGGUGACCGGCCACAUUGGGACUGAGAUACGGACCAGACUCCUACGGGAGGCAGCAGUGGGGAAUAUUGCACAAUGGGCGGAAGCCUGAUGCAGCAACGCCGCGUGCGGGAUGACGGCCUGCGGGUUGUAAACCGCUUUCGCCUGUGACGAAGCGUGAGUGACGGUAAUGGGUAAAGAAGCACCGGCUAACUACGUG